UUGCUUAUGUAGCUUACCCUUUAGAACUUUCUGAAGAAGGUUCUGUUACCAACAUAUUUACUUCCAUUGUAGGUAACGUAUUUGGGUUCAAAGCCCUGUACGCUCUACGUCUGGAAGAUCUGCGAAUCCCUCCUACUUAUGUUAAAAUUUUCCAAGGUCCGCCUCAUGGGAUCCAAGUUGAAAGAGAUAAAUUGAACAAGUAUGGUUGUCCCCUGUUGGGAUGUACUAUUAAACCUAAAUUGGGGUUAUCUGCUAAAAACUACGGUAGAGCUGUUUAUGAAUAUCUUCGCGGUGGACUUGAUUUUACCAAAGAUGAUGAGAACGUGAACUCACAACCAUUUAUGCGUUGGAGAGAUCGUUUCUCGCGGUGGACUUGAUUUUACCAAUGCGAACAUGAACUCACAACCAUUUAUGCGUUGGAUAGAUCGUUUCUUAUGUUGUGCCAAAGCACUUUAUAAAGCACAAGUGAAAUCAAAGGGAAUUACUUGAAUGCUACAGGUAUAUGCAAAGAAAUGAUCAAAAGAGCUGUAUUUACUAGAGAAUUGGGCGUUCCGAUCGUAAUGCAUGACUAGUUAACAGGGGGAUUCACCGCAAAUACUAGCUUUGCUCAUUAUUUCCGAGAUAAUGGUCUACUUCUUCACGUCCACCGUGCAAUGCAUGCAGUUAUUGAUAGACAGAAGAAUCAUGGUAUCCACUUCCGCGUAUUAGCAAAAGUGUUACAAAUGUUGGGUGGAGAUCAUAUUCACUCUGGUACCCUAGUAGGUAAACUUGAAGGUGAAAGAGACAUAACUUUGGGCUUUUUUGAUUUACUGCGAGAUGAUUUUGUUGAACAAGAUCGAAGUAGAGGUAUUUAUUUCACUCAAGAUUGGGUCUCUUUACCAGGUAUUGUACCCUUGGCUUCAUGAGGCAUUCACAUUUGGCAUAUGCCUUCUCUGACUGAGAUCUUUGGGGAUGAUUCUUUACUACAGUUUGGUGGAGGAACUUUAGGAAAUCCUUGGGGAAAUGCGCCAGGUCCCGUAGCUAAUCUAGUAGCUCUAGAAGCAUGUGUACAAGCUCUUAAUGAAGGACGUGAUCUUGCUUAGGAAGGUGAUGAAAUUAUUUGCGGGGCCUGCAAAUGGAUCCCGGAACUAGCUACUGCUUGUGAAACAUGGAAAGAGAUCGUAUUUAAUUUUGCAGCAGUGGACAUUUUGGAUAAGUAAAAAUAGUAGACAUUAACAGAUAUUAGCAGGAAAUAAAGAAGGAUAAGGAGAAAGAACUCAAGUGAUUAUCCUUCGUUCUCUUAAUUGAAUUGCAAUUAAACUCGGCCCAAUCUUUUACUAAAAGGAUUGAACCGAAUACAACAAAGAUUCUAUUGCAUAUAUUUUGACUAAGUAUAUACUUACCUAGAUAUACAAGAUUUGAAAUACAAAAUCUAGAAAACUAAAUCAAAAUCUAAGACUCAAAUCUUUCUAUUGUUAUCUUGGAUCCACAAUUAAUCCUAUGGGUCCUUAGGAUUGGUAUAUUCUUUUCUAUCAUGUAGUUUGUAG
rnacentral:lncRNA from 1 species